AUUGAACGCUGGCGGCAUGCUUUACACAUGCAAGUCGAACGGUAACAGGCCUUCGGGCGCUGACGAGUGGCGAACGGGUGAGUAAUGCAUCGGAACGUGCCCAGUCGUGGGGGAUAACGCAGCGAAAGCUGUGCUAAUACCGCAUACGAUCUGCGGAUGAAAGCGGGGGACCUUCGGGCCUCGCGCGAUUGGAGCGGCCGAUGUCAGAUUAGGUAGUUGGUGGGGUAAAGGCUCACCAAGCCAACGAUCUGUAGCUGGUCUGAGAGGACGACCAGCCACACUGGGACUGAGACACGGCCCAGACUCCUACGGGAGGCAGCAGUGGGGAAUUUUGGACAAUGGGCGCAAGCCUGAUCCAGCAAUGCCGCGUGCAGGAAGAAGGCCUUCGGGUUGUAAAGCUCUUUCGGCCGGGAAGAAAUCGCCAUCUCUAAUAUAGGUGGUGGAUGACGGUACCGGAAUAAGAAGCACCGGCUAACUACGUGCCAGCAGCCGCCGCGGUAA
rnacentral:rRNA from 1 species